AGUGAACGCUGGCGGUAGGCCUAACACAUGCAAGUCGAACGGCAGCACAGUAAGAGCUUGCUCUUACGGGUGGCGAGUGGCGGACGGGUGAGGAAUACAUCGGACUCUACUUUUUCGUGGGGGAUAACGUAGGGAAACUUACGCUAAUACCGCAUACGACCUACGGGUGAAAGCAGGGGAUCUUCGGACCUUGCGCGAUUGAAUGAGCCGAUGUCGGAUUAGCUAGUUGGCGGGGUAAAGGCCCACCAAGGCGACGAUCCGUAGCUGGUCUGAGAGGAUGAUCAGCCACACUGGAACUGAGCCACGGUCCAGCCUCCUACGGGAGGCAGCAGUGGGGAAUAUUGGACAAUGGGCGCAAGCCUGAUCCAGCCAUACCGCGUGGGUGAAGAAGGCCUUCGGGUUGCAAAGCCCUUUUGUUGGGACAGAAAAGCAGCAGGUUAAUCCCCCGCUGUUCUGACGGUACCCAAAGAAUAAGCACCGGCUAACUUCGUG
rnacentral:rRNA from 1 species